rnacentral:rRNA from 1 species
CGACCGGCGCACGGGUGAGUAACACGUAUGCAACCUGCCCUCCGCAGGGGGAUAACCCGGAGAAAUCCGGACUAAUACCGCGUGGUACACCAGUGGGGCAUCCCACUGGUGUUAAAAGGAAGUGAUUCCGGCGGAGGAUGGGCAUGCGGCGCAUUAGCUUGUUGGCGGGGUAACGGCCCACCAAGGCGACGAUGCGUAGGGGUUCUGAGAGGAAGGUCCCCCACACUGGUACUGAGACACGGACCAGACUCCUACGGGAGGCAGCAG